rnacentral:misc_RNA from 1 species
AACUUUUGACAACGGAUCACUUGGCUCUCGCAUCGAUGAAGAACGCAGCGAAAUGCGAUAAGUAAUGUGAAUUGCAGAAUUCAGUGAAUCACCGAAUCUUUGAACGCACCUUGCACCCUUUGGCAUUCCGAAGGGUAUGCUCGUUUGAGUGUCAUUGUACUCUCACACUCCCGAUGCUUUUGGAUUGGGAGUGGUGGACUUGGGUGUUGCUGCUUUACUGUGGCUCACCUCAAAUGGAGUAGUGCAACUCUUGGUUGGACAUAGUACGGCGUGAUAAGUGUCUUCGCCGGCGCCUCAUUAGAGGGUGGCCGAUCGGGAGCUCUGUGCUUCAAACCGUCUUCGGACAACAUCUGACAACUUGACCUCAAAUCGAGUAGGACUACCCGCUGAACUUAAGCAUAUCAAUAAGCGGAGGCU